UGGGGAAUAUUGCACAAUGGGCGCAAGCCUGAUGCAGCCAUGCCGCGUGUGUGAAAAAGGCCUUCGGGUUGUAAAGCACUUUCAGCGGGGAGGAAGGCGAUAAGGUUAAUAACCUUGUCGAUUGACGUUACCCGCAGAAGAAGCACCGGCUAACUCCGUGCCAGCGGCCGCGGUAAUACGGAGGGUGCAAGCGUUAAUCGGAAUUACUGGGCGUAAAGCGCACGCAGGCGGUCUGUCAAGUCGGAUGUGAAAUCCCCGGGCUCAACCUGGGAACUGCAUUCGAAACUGGCAGGCUAGAGUCUUGUAGAGGGGGGUAGAAUUCCAGGUGUAGCGGUGAAAUGCGUAGAGAUCUGGAGGAAUACCGGUGGCGAAGGCGGCCCCCUGGACAAAGACUGACGCUCAGGUGCGAAAGCGUGGGGAGCAAACAGG
rnacentral:rRNA from 1 species